GAACUGGGGUCAGAGGAAGACUGCAGAGUCCCCUGUUCUGUUCACCCCGGGGCCGGCAGACAAUCUGGAGGAACUGGACGGUCAACUGGAGACCUCGGAGAGCCCUUUUGCAAAGCGAGGAGGGUGCGAAUUGCCCAAGAUUAGACUCCAAGAGCUGUGAAUCUUCUACACUUUGACUUUCCUCGCAGUGCACCAGCUGAUGGUCUUGGGGUAGACAAGAUUUCUUAGGAUACAAAAAGUAUGAAAUGAACCAGAAGUGAAAAACAAUCUGUGUUUUCUCCAAUCCUCCUGGUGACUCCAGUGAACACUCCAAUGAAAGCCUGUAUUCUGGGAAGGUGAUACUGGAAAUCAUCUAUUAUGGAGCCGAAGAAGGAAUCAUCACCGGAAACAACGGAAAUGGGAGGGGCUUUUAACAUUGGAAACCGCGUCUUGGCGCCUUCGUUGGAGAGGAACAUGAAGGCUGACCUCAGGGGAUCUGCAGGAAGCCCAGACAGAUACAGGCAGGGGCUGUCUGAAGACACACCGUCUCUCUCGUGUUUCCACCCACCUCUCCAACUUACCCUGUUUUUGUCUUUUUUUUUCUUUUCCUUGAAGGUCUAAAUGCCUUUGA